AAACUGAGGCUCAGGGUGGUCAGUGGGCAGUGCAGAGCGGGCUCCCUGCUUGGCCGUGGGGCGCGCCUGGGGCCCCCCGUGGGGCCCUCCUCAGCUAGCGCUGGCUCCUCCAGCCCGGGGCCUGGGGCCCAUCCAAGUGGAAACCCAAUCGGCUGGGCCGCGCAGCCGUGUAACCAGGCCCUCCUCGGCCAGAAAUCUCAGCCGCCGGCUGGGCUGGCCAGGAACCUGAGCCGGCCCGGUGGCCUGAGCUUCCUGAUGUCUCCCCUACGCCCAGCCCUGUGCCAGCUGCCGGGGAGACAGGGGACCAGCCCCUCCCCUUGGCCUGCACUGUCCACUGGGACACAGUCCUGAACCCAUGAGACUGGUUCUGUACGAGCCCAGAGAAGCCCCAUCUCAGGCUUGGGUGUGAUGGGUCAGGCGGGGAAGGGGUUUCCCCUGGCAUAGCAGCCCCUGUUGGGGGCCGGGGGCCGUAACCAGGGUUCCCCCUCCCCAGAGGGGCCCUGUUCCCUCCACUUCCCAGGUCCCCAGUGAGUAAUUUGGGCUGUCUGAGUCAUCUGGGCUGCUGAGACCCCAGCACUGGGGGCACACAGGUGCACCUGAGGACACGUGUGCCCACACCUAUGACCCAGAACACGUAGUGGCCAGGCUGGGGGGUUGGUCCAGACCCAGGUAGGACUCAGCGAUAAACCCACUGUGCACAGGGCCAGGGGGCUGCAUGCUGUGCCCUCCUAGCUAAGCCAGAGCGAAGGGAGCCCCAGAGCAGCUGGGGACCCCAGGAAAGAACAUAGCACCCUCUUCCCACCGCGAGGCCCCACAGAACGGUCAGCUCGGCGUCCCGGCUUUUGGGGACCCUGGUCCUUCCUUUUCUGAUCCACUUUCAGGCUCUGUGUUAAGUAGGACUCAGUUCUGUCCCUCACCCCUGGAUGUCCUCGGAAAGGGACUCGGCACCCCUGAGCCCACCAGGGGCAGCAGGACCGAGUGUGGAUCGUGCCCUCUGAGUGGGCCUUCCUGACCUUUCAGGGGCUUGUCACAGACAGCCUGGAAGGUGACCAUCACCGGCCUACUUACCAAAGGGGAAACCAAGGCCCAGAGAUGGGCAGAGUCUCACCCAGCAUCACACAGCACAUGGGGCAAGCCAGAGCCCAGGCCUGGAGGGCUGGGGCUUCGCAUUUUGUGUGCUGCCAGGAUGGCGAGGAGGAUGCUAAGUUUUCUGCCGGGAGUACCAGGCUGGUCUGUCCAGGAUGGGUGCAGGACCCCGCUCCCCUCGGCCAAGAUGGCUCUAAAGCCGACCUGCUGAGACAGCCCAGAAGCCGUGCAAGACCUACUCCUUCUGGCAGGAAGCACACACCUUCCUGGUGGUCCAGGUCUGGCCAAACGCAGCCCUGCUGACGUGCAUCUGACGAGGAUGAGGGCCUGGUCCCUCAUCCCUCCCUGAGUCAGAAGGACUCCAGGUCCCUCAAAGGCCCUGGCUCAGGGGCCUCCUGUCUACCCCUAGUUGCUCCCUCUCUGUGGGUGGGGGGACCCUGGAGGGCAGGGCCCGGGCUGGGUCAUCCUAGUUCCCAGACAUGUAGGCAGGGGACUGCAGAAGUGGGUGGAAAGUUCUGUGUCCAGCUCUGAAAUCUCCGCUCUGGGGACACAGCUGAGCAGGUUGUGUGUUGGCGGCCUCGGCAAACUCACUCAUCUACAUCGCAGAGCUGUAGGGAGGGGACAGGUGAGCCAACAGACACAUUGGAGCUGGGCCUGCUCGGAGCCAGUACAGAGUGGCCAUUGCUGGCGACUUGGACCAGGCGUACUGUGCCUCUGUGACACGAAGGCCAUGUACCGCAUCUGAUCCAUCCCAGGCUUACUGGGGGGCUGCAGGAAGGGCGGGGGCUCCAACAGGGGACAUGUGUGCGCAUGUGCAGCGCUGUGCCUCUCCCUGGUCUCCGGGCCUGUCACACACAGAGCAGGGCCCAAGAGGGGUGGGUUGUGGGGAGGAGGGAGCCUUCAUCUCCUUCUGGAUUGUUCUUCCACCAGAGAAUACCGGUAUAGCCUUUGGGCAAGAAAGAGAGGGGAAAGGCAGGGAGGGGAAUGAGAAAAAGAAGUGAAGGGGCAUUUUAUUUUAUUUUUUUUAGCCAUGCCACAAGGCUUGUGGGAUCUCAGUUCCCCGACUAGGGAUUGAACCCAGGCCACAGCAGUGAAAGUGCGGGGUCCUAACCGCUAGACCACCAGGGAAUUCCCAUGAAGGGGUAUUUUAAACAAGAGGCCACCCAAAUCUCCACAUCGCCAGGAAAGAUAAAAAGAGUGUUGACAUCACGGGUCAUCCGGGAGAUGCAAAUGCAAACCACAGUGAGAUCCCACUUCACACGCAAGAACAGAUUCUCUAUGAUCCUGUGUUCAUCUGUGUGCAGAAGUCAGGCCAACGGUGCCCUUUGGGGAGGACCGACUGGAAAGGAUGUGAUGGAGGGACCUGCACAUGUCUCUUGAUCUGGGUGCUGGGUACGUGUGAGUGUUCAGUUUGUGGCAAUUCAAGUAGCUGCACAAUGAUAAUGUGCGUCCUUGCCCAGACGGCAGCUAGUUUGGAAGUGUGGCUGCCCGUCCACCCCCCACCCCACCCCCCACCCCCCGCUCCCGCCAGCCUCACUCUACACUCCAGACAUGCUGGCCUCUAGCCCUUAGAGCACCAAACUCCCGCCUGCCUCAGGGCCUUUGCACUUGCUGUUCUGUCUGUCUGUAAUGGACCCUUCUUCCCACACACAUCCUUUCUGCUUCUUGAAGUUCUGCUUAUCCUUCAGGGCUCGGUGUAAACAUCACCUGGUCCAGGGGGAUCCCUAGACAAGGGCAGGGUUCUUGUGGCUCCUGCACUUCUUUGUCAUGCUCGUCACAGCCGAUUCUUGGGUGUAUCUGUGUGAUCAUAGGUUUAUUCUCUCCCUCCAUGCUGCAAAGGCAGGGACCACAUUUGUUUUGAUCACUGUGGGAUCCCCAUCUCAGGGUGUAUAGUCAGUACAGUUUUGGGCUUCUUUUUUUUUCCUUUUCUUGGGUCUCCAUUGCUGCGUGCGGGCUUUCUCUAGUUGCGGUGAGCGGGGGCUACUCUUCGUUGCAGUGCACGGGCUUCUCACUGCGGGGGCUUCUCUUGUUGUGGCGCAUGGGCUCUAGGUGCAUGGGCUUCAGUAGUUGCGGCACACAGGCUCAGUAGCUCUAGAGCGCAGGCUCAGUAGUUGUGGCGCAAGGGCAUAGUUGCUCUGCGGCAUGUGGGAUCUUCCUGGACCAGGGCUCAAGCCCAUGUCCCCUGCAUUGGCAGCUGGAUUCUUAACCACUGCUCUACCAGGGAAACCCCAGCUUUGGCCAUCUAUCUUCAGAUGGAAGAAAGGAAGGGAGGAA